rnacentral:misc_RNA from 1 species
GGGGGCUGGAAAACUUUUGCAACGAGCGGCAGGACACUGCUAACUGCACGAUAUGACUUUGCAAUUGGGCAAUUUCCUGUUUGCAACCACUCAUUGCUUGAAGCCUCGUGAUUUGGCUGUCCUCCCUGUGAAGAUGGUUUCUUUUUGGAUGAUUUGGAGUUCUUUUCAUUUUUCCACUUCUUUGAAAAUGAGUCAAAGCU